AGGCAGCUCUAGGGAAUAUUGACAUGGGGAAGCCUGAUGCCACCCGCGUGAGUGAAGAAGGCCUUCGUCGUAAAACUCUUUUCAAGGAAGAGAGACGUCCCUUGGAAUAACUCGCUAACUACGUGCCAGCACCGCGGUAACACUAAGAUGCGAGCGUUAUUCAAUUUACUGGGCGUAAAGCGCGUGAGGCGGUUAGAAGUUGGAUGUGAAAGCUCCCGGCUUACUGGAGAGGUCUUCAAACUUCUGACUAGAGUUUGGAGAGGAAAAUGAUUCCGGGUGUGUGGUGAAUGCGUAGAUAUCCGGAGGAACACCAGUGGCGAAAGCGAUUUUCUGGACCGAUACUGACGCUCACACGCGAGCUAGGGUAGCAAACGGGAUUAAACCCCGGUAGUCCUAGCUGUAAACGAUGUAUACUUGGCGUUGGGAGAGUAAAAUCAUCCGUGCCGAACAAACGCGAUAAUCUACCGCCUGGGGAGUACGGCCGCUAGGUUAAAACUCAAAGGAAUUGACGGGGCCCCGCACAAGCAGCGGAGCGUGUGGUUUAAUUCGAUGCUACACGAAGAACCUUACCAGGGUUUGACAUAUAAGUGGUAGGGAAGGAAACCGACCGACCCUUCGGA
rnacentral:rRNA from 1 species